AUUUAUGAAAAUGUAAUAAUAUUGUUCCAGAUAUACGACAAUUUCAUCUCUGUCGAAAAAUAUUUCUCUGCUCCUCUGACCUUAACAUACAAGUUAAAGAUCGUUUGCUUUAUGAAGAUAUUUGGAGGAUUGCCCAUUGGAAUAUCCAUUGGAGGAUUUUUCAUCGUGAAAAGGAACUUCUUGAUUCGGGCAGCCAAUGGUAUUUAUUCGGUCUUCUCGACUUUAGUUGAAGUAACAGGAGUACUGGACAAAAAUAGAUGCACUUCAAAACUGUAUGCAUCUACACGUAGCAACGACACAAUUCUGUAGAAAGAUUUAGUUAUGUUUCAUUGCAGAUUGGAUCAAAUAUAUACGAAGUAUAUUCGUGCACCCAAUGUAAACAAAACAAAUUUUAUUUUUUGUAACCACCGAAAAGGAGUUUAUAAACGAAUAAACAAGUUUGUUAUGCCUUUUUUUUAUUUUUA